rnacentral:lncRNA from 1 species
AUGGUCCUUUGCUUGCUGUAUAAAACUUCACAUAUUCUGGGCAAAGUGUAGAAUCUUAGUUGUCAAAUCGAAAUUUGAUUUGAGAAUCAAAUAAUAUAUUAAUUAAACAUAGUAUAUGUUCUAAAAAAUAAGUAAAAAAAGUAUAUCAUAAAGACAUAUUAUUUAUGUAAUUAGAAAUAUGCUUUAUACUAGAAUUAGAUUAUAUAUUUUCAUUUUAUAAAUUAUAAACUCUUGAAAAAUAGAGAAUGAUUAUUAUUAUGCAUGUGUUGAAACUUUCAUUUAAAAUUGAUCAGUAAAAAAAUGAUAAACGGAAUAGAAAAAUGUAGCUGGAAUUUUGAAAGGCGGUUUCUGACCUGGGCUUGUCUGCAACUCCACACUAGCAAAGCUCAUUUGACAAAGGUCUGAUAUCAAUUUGUCAAGAAUAAGAAUUGAGAAUUGGAAAAAGGGAUGAGAGACAAGAAGAAACAAAGAUGAGAAGAAGAAUGGGUCUAUGUGAGAAGAGAUCAAGAGAAUAGACAGAUUGAGAUGAGAUAAGAAAAUAGAGUAGAGAGAGAGAGUGAGAGUGAGAGAGACAGAGAAGGAAUUAUCCUAUAUUCUCACAGCUCCUAUCCUCUUAUUAUUAUUAUUAUUUUAACCUCUCUUGCCUUCACCUAGGGUGUUAAUAUUAUUCAUUAUCCCAAAUAUUCUCUAUGUAACGGUCAGCUGUCUGUUUGUGGGAAAUCGUCCCACAUUACGGCAAAUCAAAAUUAUAUAAAAUAGGUAGCACGAAACUAUUAAAUAACUUGAGUUAACUAUUUUGGGUCAAGUGGAAGUGGAUUCAAAAAUUAUUUGGGUCAGUUUGGGCCGGACUGUUUCAAUUGGUAUCAGAGCCACCUUGGGUCAGACAAAUUGUGCAAAACUAGUAGACCUGCGAGGAAAGGGCUACCCGUGUGAGACGAGGUGGAGCCGCUCGAGGUACUAGCGAACCACAAUAUCCGAGGGUCCGGUCCUGGUUUAGCAAUUGUAUUCGAUUUAGCUACCCGUGUGAGAUGAGGUGGAGUUGCCCGAGGUACUAGCGAACCACAAUAUCCGAGGGUCUGGUUCUGAUUUAGCAAUUGUAUUCGAUUUAGUUGCAAUGAGGACGUCACAAAUUUAGCGAGACCGAGUGUAACAGUCAGCUGUCUGCUUGUGGAAAAUCGUCCCACAUCGGCGGAUUACGGCCUGAGGUACUAGCGAACCACAAUACCCGAGAGUCUGGUCCUAGUUUAGCAAUUGUAUUCGAUUUAGUUGCGACGAGGACGUUACAAAUUUAGCGAGACCGAGUGUAAUGGUCAGCUGUCUGCUUGUGGAAAAUCGUCCCACAUCGGCGGAUUACGGCAAAUUGAAAUUGUAGAUAAAAGUUAGCCCGAAAUUACUAAAUAACUUGGAUUAACCAUUUUGAGAUAAGUGGAAGUGGGUCUAAAAGUUAUUUGGGCCAGUUUGGGCCGAGCUGUUUCACUCCGUUUCUUGUUUUUUUGUUGAGUUUUUGUGGUUAUUUACUCAUUUUGAUGAUCGUGUUUAAGCACAGUGAAGGAAUCAUCUGUUGUUAUUUAUUUAUUUAUUCUUGUGUUGUAACCAAAUGCCACUGGAUAUCAUCUCUCUUCUCAGUCUUGAGGUAAUUGGAUGUUUAGAAAUCUAAUCAUCUGCUUGCUUGCUUGUUUCUGCUUCAAAAACUUAUUGAUCACAGUUGUGUCUAGUCCUCAUUCGCACAAUUCAUUUCUAGCCAAGGGUUUGAUUCUUGGAUAGUUGGAUUCUACAAAUUCUACUAGCUAGACUGAGGUCAUACGCUAAAUCGGGCACACAAAUGACGUGUGAUAGCUACACAAUGACAGUGUCAUCAAUCGGGCUCAGUUUGACCAAAUUGAAAAAGAUUUUUGUUUUUUGGGUGUUGAUUUGGGGUGGGGGGGGAGGGAUGCACUGAUUGGACAACAAUUAAGAAUAAUGGCCUAAUUGACUUUUGAGGUAAAGGUUAAGGGGGCUGCAAGGGCUUUUGGCCUUUAUGAAAUAACAUUAAGAAAUAAAAAUAUUGAUGCAAGAUAAUAAUGGAUAUGUUUUUUAUUUUUUUUUAUUUUUUUUAUGUUAUAUAUGUAAAAUGUGGGUGAGAAUCCUUUUUUUUUUCCUCAGUAAAUAAUUACUUGGGUUGUUUAGAGUGUCAAUGUAAUUUGCAUUUGAUUAACAUUUUGUUAUAAUAUGAAUUUGAGUAAUUUUGCUUCUUUGUUUUGGGAAAUUAACUAUUUAGUUUAUAUGGUUUAGUGAAACUAGCUGCUUAAGUCCUUUUAUUUUUAAGAAAUACACUAAAUAGUCCUCGUCUUUUCAGGGUGUUAAUCAUUUAGUUCCUGUAUUUUCAAAUUGGUAACUAUUUAGUUCCUCUGUUUGUUUAACCUGUCAACAAUGUAUGGAAUGACUGAAAUGCCCUUCUUUCUAAUUAGUAUAUGUAAUUUCAAAACAUAACUAUUCAAUUCCUGUAAUUUUAAAAUCAUAAUUAUUCAAUCCUUGUAAUUUCAAAAUCAUAAUUGUUUUAUCCUUAUAAUUUUAAAAUAACAACUAUUUAGUUUCUGCAAUUCAUAAGAGGAACUAAAUAGUUAAUAGUUUGAUAAUAGAGGGACCAAGUAGUUAGUUUCAUUACACCACAGGGACUAAAUAAUAAUUUUUCCUUUUUUUUUUUUUGCUUUUUCCCUCGUAAACAUAAUAGCAUUAGCUGCAACAGUUACAUGUGACACCCUAAAAUAGUCAGAUAACAACCUUGCUGCACCAUUUCUUGUUAAGUUGUGUAGAACUUCCAUUCAAUUGGAUAGGCAUUUUAGAAUUACCUAAGGCAGCUAUUGCACCUACUCCAUGUUAUAGCUCCUCCAUUCUUUUCAUUCCUUUGUAUGAGACAGAAAUUCAAAGUGGUAAUUUUGUAAACUCCGAUCUAUGUAAUGGGGUAUUUGAUAGAGAAUAGGAAUUUAAGCAAAAUUAACAGAUAAGAAAGGAAAAGAAAUUGUAUUGAUGAGCAGAGAAUUGCCAAACAAAUCCAGGAGAAUAAGCUCUCCCCUGAGCAGGAAUAAUUUCCAGCUCCCAAGACACAAGAAAAAUACUCGAUAACCUCCCAUUUUGUCUUAUUCCUAUAUAUAUAUAUAUGGCUAUUAGUAAUAUUUCUGCAUGAGUCAAUGCCUCGAUAUAACUAACUUUGACCCUCUUGAUUCUCUGGCCUUUUCUUUGAUCUUCUCGAAUAUACUAUCCACACGCCUUUGGCCCUACCCUUUAGUUGCUCAUAUGUAACAUUGCCAUCGUCUUGAAAAUCAGCCUUGUGCUGAAGGCAAAAAUCUGGAAACUGCCCGUUAAUGUCUGCAUCAUCUAACCAAGUCGUAUCUUCCAUAGAUUGGUCGUGCCAUUUGAUCAAACUCUGAGAAACAGUUGGCCAUUUAUAUUAAUUACUCUGCGAUCCAAAACCUUCUCAAGAAAUAGAGGCGAUGGUGCAUCAACAUCUAAUUCUGAAGGUAGCUGGUUGGUGGAUGCAUGAUCACCAAUCAUUUUUUUAAGUUUAAGACACAUGAAAAACAGGAUGGACGUUGGCUUCCAAAGGCAACCCCAGUUUAUAAGCUACUGAACUAAUGCGACUAAUAAUUUUGAAAGGGCCAUAGUAUCGGGGAGCUAGUCUAUGAGCAAUCCGGAAAGAAACUGAUUGUUGUCUGUGGGGUCGCAAUUUAACAAGCACCAAGUCACCCACCUGGAAAACAUCUAUGCUUUUCUUAUCAGCUUGGUCCUUCAUAGCAGAUUGGGUUUUCUGAAGGUUAAAUUGGAGCUGACGAAGGAUCUCAUCUCUAUCUAACAAAACUUGAGACACAAUGGCCACCGUUGUUUUACCCGGUAAGAAGUGGAGUCUUAUCGGAGUAGUGUGGGGGGUGGUCUGUUGUAAAUCACAUGAUACGGAGUCUGUUGAAUUGCACUGUGGAAUCUGGUAUUGUAUCAAUAUUCCGCCCAAUGAAGCCAAUGUACCCAACUUUUUGUAUCAAUAUUCCGCCCAAUGAAGCCAAUGUACCCAACUUUUUGAUUGUUCUGAAGUAAAACAAUGUAGAUAUUGCUCCAAACUCUUAUUUUUUUGUGAUCUCCAUUUGGCCAUUCAUAUGUGGAUAGUAUGCCGAGCUCAUCUUGAGUCUCAUGCCCAUGAGAUGGAAAUUUCAGUACAAAAGUGGCUGAGAAAGAUGGAUCACGAUCACUAACAAUUGUCGUCGGCACCCCAUAAAGUUGAACAACUUCCUUUACAAACAAUUCGACUACUACAAAUAUACAAUCAAUUCCAUUAGAUUUGGAUAAUCCCAUGACAAAAUCCAUGAAAAUAUACUCCCAUUUACUAUGAGGAAUUGGCAAGGGAUGCAACAACCCAACAGGAGACAUAGCUGCAAUAUUAUUUUUUUUGACAAACCACAUAGAAAGCAACAAAUUUUUGAACGAAUUUCAUCAUACCACGCCAAUAUAAUCCUGUUGCCAGCCGUUGAUAGUUGCAAAAGGCACCAGAAUGACCCCUGUGGAGUGGUAUGGAAUUCUGAGAUCAAUUUGGGCACCCAAGGUGAAGAAGCAGGAAUGACUAAUCGGCCUUUGUAAAAGAGAUGUUACUGGAUGAGAGAAAAAUGGGGAUAAUUUUGAGAACGAGAUUACAUUGUUGAGAUUAUAGGCUGUAAUUCUGGAUUAGCAUGAACAACCAUCUCCAAUUCCUCUAAUUUGAGCCAAUGUGGAUGUGUCAUGGCAAAACAAAUUGAAUCCGAAUCCUCCUGCCUAGACAAUGCAUCUAGACAAUGCAUCUGUUGCUUGAUUAAUGUGUCUAGUCUUGUAUUCCAUCACAAAUUUAUAACCUAGCAAUUUGGUGAUCCAACUCUGUUGAGCUGGCGUGAUAAUUUUCUGUUCUAAGAGGUGGCGAAGGCUUUUGUGAUAAGUUCGAACAAUGAGCUUAGGAUCCAACAAGUAAGACCGCCAAUGAUUGAUAGCAAGCGCAAGAGCCAUAAGUUCCUUUUCGUAGGCAGAGUUAGAAAGAGUUCUAGCUAAUAAAGCUUUACUGUAAUAAGCAAUGGGUUUCCCCUAUUGCAUCAACACUGAUCCUACUCCACAUCCACAUCCUGAUGCAUCACAUUCGACAUCAGAAGUUUGUUGAAAAUAUGGCAUCACUAAAACUGGAGCAGUGAUGAUGGCAGAUUUCAACUUGUUAAAAGUGUUUUGAGCAGUAGAAUCCCAGACAAAAUGCUGUUGACUAUCCUUAGCCUUGAGCCUAUUCUGAGGCUGUGCAAAUCGACUGAACAAGACGAUGAUAGUAGCCGGUGAGUCCAUGGUUUUAAAUAACGGAUUUUGGGGGGCCGUUACCCGUUAUCCCGUUAUAUAAUGGCCCCUCCUGAUUUGUAGGCGUAAUGGCCAUUACGGCCGUUACGCAACGGUAACGACCGUUACCAAUAAUUAAAAUAUCUUUUGCUCCAUUCUCAUUUUCAUUAGUUUCUAUAUUUUUCAGCAACUUCAAAAACUAUAUUUUUUAAGUUUUCUCUUCCCUUUCUCUUUCAAAUUUCAAUCUUUCCUGCAUAUUUCUCAUAUAAACUUAGAUCCAUUAUAAACGACUUUAUUUCCAAGCUUAUUUCUUCUAAAAAGUUAGUUAAAUUUAAUCUAUUUUAAUUUUUAAUUGUUGUUUUUUUUUCCUUUUUAUUUGUAAGUUUUUGUGGAUUAAAGUGUUAGUUUUGAGUUAAAAUUAUAUUUUGAGCUAUUAGUUUACUCGAUCUAUAAAGAUUAUGUUGAUUUUUCUUAUUUUAAACUAUAUGAUGUUUAAUCUAUAUUUUAUAUAUUUAUAUUUAUUAUGCAUUUGUAUACAUUGUUCUAAAUUAAAUCUAAUUAAUAUCAUGUUAUUUAUGAACUUUACAAAUUUUUUAAAAAAAUUUGCGUAGCACCAGACCAUUACCGUUACGUUACGGCCGUUAUAGGUCUGUUUCCGUUACCUGCGACUACGAUCGCGAACGUGGCCGCGACCGUGAUUUAAAACCAUGGGUGAGUCCCAAAAGUCCCCUAUCAGCCUUGACUAAAGAAGAAACCGGCCAACGUAAAAUUGCCGAGAUCUUAUCCGGAUCCAUGGACACUCCUCCGGUAAAAAUCAAAUGGCCCAAAUAAGAGAUGGACUGUUUACCAAAAGAACAUUUUUCAUGUUGGCUACCAAGUAAUUAAAAGAUAAUAGUGUAAGGACCUGAUCAACAUGAAAUAAGUGAUCCUUCUAAGAAUGACCGUAGACCAGUAUGUUGUGGACAAGAACAAAGCGGCGAAGAAAAGGCCAAAAUAUGUCAUUCAUUGUGGCCUGAAAUGUUGUUGGCGCAUUGGUCAAACCAAAUGAUAUCACAAGAAAUUCAUAGUGCCUGGAGUGGGUGCAGAAUGCUAUAUUAGGAAUAUCCUCAGGCUUCAUAUGGAUUUGGUGGCACCUAGUUCGUAAAUCGAUCUUAGAGAAGUACUUGGCAUUAUAGAGUUCAUCCAGUAGUUCCUGGAUAAUUGGAAUGGGAUAUCGAUAAGGAAUUGUGGCUUUAUUUAACUGUCGAAAAUCCACUAAAAAAUGCUAGCUACCAUCCUUCUUGCAGACCAACAAUACUGGGCUGGAAAAAGGAGAAGAACUAGAACAUGCAGACCAACAAUACUGGGCUGGAGAAAGGAGAAGACAUAUAAUACCAGCAGCCAACAUAUCCGAAACCAACCAUUCUAUUUCAUUCUUUUGAUAAUGGCUGUAUCAAUAGGGCUUAACUGAGAUAGCCUUCACCCCAGAUUAUAAAGGAAUGGUAUAGUUAGAAGGUCGGCAUGGGGGCAAUUCAUGUGGUUCAGCAAAAACAACAGAAAUGGAAUGGAUCCGUAUCAUUCUCUCAUUUUUUAGAAAAGAUUCAUCAUCAAAUCUUGCUCAUGUUCAUAUCAGGAAUGGAAGUUUUAGGAACUAAUGUAUCUUCAAAGACCUCAUCUUAAAUAGGUGGUGUUGCUCCAACCCAGAUGGCUGGUUUCAGGAUGGCUAUGUUCUGGCUCGCCCAUUCCAAGCCAGGAGUUGAAUCAAGAGACUCAGUCGAAAGUUGGAGUUUCUUUGCCCAUUCCAAAUGUGAGAUUCACCUGCCUGUUUAGAUGUGGGAUGUGUCCCGCAUCCAAGCAGGCAGGUGAAUCUCACACUCUCCCCUGCUAAACUUGUGACGUCCUCGUCACAACUGAAUCGAAUACAAUUGCUAAAUCAGGAUUGGACCCUUAAGUAUUGUAGUUCGCUAGUACCUCGGGCGGCUCCACCUCAUCUCUCACGGCUACAGCCCUUUCCUCGCAGGUCCACUAGCUCUACAUAAUUUAUCUGACCUAGGGUGGCUCUGAUACCAUGUAGAAGAAUAAUAUUUUGUUAUUGUAUUUCACAAUAGAUAUUACAACCUAUUUAUAUAUGAGAGGCGAUAUCUAAACAGGAAGAAAAAUCAAACCUAUAAUUAUACAAUCUCUAAGAUUAAGCACUAUUCCUAUAUUAACAUAUUUACUUCCUAUAACCUAUAAUAGGUGGAAAUAACAUGAAACUCUUUUCAUGGAUGUUCUCAUCAACAACUUGCACAUCAAGAAUAAAAGAAUUAGGCAUAAUAAUGUUAGUCAUAGAAUGAUCAUGUGGAUGUGACUCAUUCUCCUUUACAACUUCUAAAACAGC